UUUCUUCGGGGCGAGGUGCAAUUCCUCACCGGCGGUGAAUGCCUUUGCAUGAGCCCGCGACCGCUUUUAAGCGCUGAUCCGGUGUGAUUCCGGAGCCGACGGUUACAGUCCGGAUGAUAGAAGA
rnacentral:ncRNA from 1 species